rnacentral:lncRNA from 1 species
UGUGUAUCUAUCUGGAGAUCGAUCAGGACAGGGAGGAACAAAGGGUUUAACCCUAAUUGCUAAUUCAGCCAAAUUAGGAGGAAAUCUCAAAGCUAAUUCAUUGCAUGAACUCAAGUUUCGAUCAUCUAAGCUAAUAUAGCUGAAUGGCGUGAAGGAAGAGGGUUCAAGUACUAAGAAAUCGGAAGGCUCACAGGAUCGAGGUAAAUACUCAAUUUAGGCGACUUGGAGAAUUGGAGCGAGCACAUGUUCAUGAUAUGUCAUACCAAACGCUUCCGCUAGUUGCACUUAUGUUUUGGGUCAAAUUUCCAUUUUGUACAACUUGUUAGUAGUCGUAUAUUUUAAAACUUGUUGCCUUUGUUUUCGGUAGUAUUAUGUCAAACGGAUCAUAAGAUGUUAAUUAGUUUGAUUAUGUUCAAAACAGGGGCAUGCUCGUUUUUGGACGGGUCAUGCCCAAAUUUUGUAAAAAUUAUGCAUCAAGUUG